rnacentral:rRNA from 1 species
ACCCGCUGAACUUAAGCAUAUCAAUAAGCGGAGGAAAAGAAACCAACAGGGAUUGCCCUAGUAACGGCGAGUGAAGCGGCAACAGCUCAAAUUUGAAAUCUGGCUCUUUUAGAGUCCGAGUUGUAAUUUGCAGAGGGCGCUUUGGCUUUGGCAGCGGUCCAAGUUCCUUGGAACAGGACGUCACAGAGGGUGAGAAUCCCGUACGUGGUCGCUGGCUAUUGCCGUGUAAAGCCCCUUCGACGAGUCGAGUUGUUUGGGAAUGUAGCUCUAAAUGGGAGGUACAUUUCUUCUAAAGCUAAAUAUUGGCCAGAGACCGAUAGCGCACAAGUAGAGUGAUCGAAAGAUGAAAAGCACUUUGGAAAGAGAGUCAAACAGCACGUGAAAUUGUUGAAAGGGAAGCGCUUGCAGCCAGACUUGCUUACAGUUGCUCAUCCGGGCUUUUGCCCGGUGCACUCUUCUGUAGGCAGGCCAGCAUCAGUUUGGGCGGUAGGAUAAAGGUCUCUGUCACGUACCUCUCUUCGGGGAGGCCUUAUAGGGGAGACGACAUACUACCAGCCUGGACUGAGGUCCGCGCAUCUGCUAGGAUGCUGGCGUAAUGGCUGU